AGAGUUUGAUCAUGGCUCAGGACGAACGCUGGCGGCGUGCUUAACACAUGCAAGUCGAGCGGUAAGACCCUUCGGGGUACACGAGCGGCGAACGGGUGAGUAACACGUGAGCAACCUGCCCCUGACUCCGGGAUAAGCGGUGGAAACGCCGUCUAAUACCGGAUACGACCCUCCUCCGCAUGGUGGGGGGUGGAAAGUUUUUUCGGUCGGGGAUGGGCUCGCGGCCUAUCAGCUUGUUGGUGGGGUAACGGCCUACCAAGGCGAUUACGGGUAGCCGGCCUGAGAGGGCGACCGGCCACACUGGGACUGAGACACGGCCCAGACUCCUGCGGGAGGCAGCAGUGGGGAAUAUUGCGCAAUGGGCGAAAGCCUGACGCAGCGACGCCGCGUGGGGGAUGACGGCCUUCGGGUUGUAAACCUCUUUUACCACUCACGCAGGCCCCGGGUUCUCCCGGGGUUGACGGUAGGUGGGGAAUAAGGACCGGCUAACUACGUGCCAGCAGCCGCGGUAAUACGUAGGGUCCGAGCGUUGUCCGGAAUUAUUGGGCGUAAAGAGCUCGUAGGCGGCGUGUCGCGUCUGCUGUGAAAGACCGGGGCUUAACCCCGGUUCUGCAGUGGAUACGGGCAUGCUAGAGGUAGGUAGGGGAGACUGGAAUUCCUGGUGUAGCGGUGAAAUGCGCAGAUAUCAGGAGGAACACCGGUGGCGAAGGCGGGUCUCUGGGCCUUACCUGACGC
rnacentral:rRNA from 1 species